CCUCCUUGAGCCCUGAGACACAGGGCUUCUAAUAAUUUUGUACAGCAUGCAGGCUGUGCUGGGAGACGGACUGCUGCUGGAGAAGGCAGAGGAGGGAAUCCAGAAGGCUGGCCAGCUUCUCGCUUGGGGAUGGCUGGGGAGAACACCUGGCAUUGGAGUAGUCAGGAGACCCCUUAGGACCAAGCCGGAGCUCUGGCAGAACGAAGGCCAAAAGAAGCUGCAGAGAAGUCUUCUACACAGUUCGAAAAUGCCACUUGACACAUUGAAUCCUCUGGGGCAACACCAUAAGGCUGUUGAUUCUGUGUUAUGAUGGCCUGAAAACAGAGAUGACCAUGAAUGCAAAUUCACAAGCUGGGAAGCAGCAGAGAGAGCAAAGGAGCCAUAGUUCCAGGAAUCAACAGAAUGCUUGGGGGAGAUUCCACACAUCACAGAAAAGGCCAUCAGCUGGAGUCUAGGACAGGGCUCUCAAACUAUGGCCCAUAGGCCAGAUUCAGCCAACCAUCUGUUUUGGUAAAUAAAGUUUUAUUAGAACACAGUUACCCCCAUGUGUUUAUGUAUUGUCUGUGACUGCUUUCACACUAAAAUGGCAGAGCUGAGUAGUUGUGACAGAGACCAGA
rnacentral:lncRNA from 10 species